AAUUAUCUGUUUGCUUGAAAAAUUUAAAUAGCAUUUUGAACUUUUCCUUAUGCUUAUCUUCUCGGCGAGUAAUAAACUUGUUGCCCAAAGAAAGAGAAUCAAAAAGUUUUAUUUUUUUUUUAAAUAAUUUUAUUGCGAAUCGUAAUAAUAAUCAUUACAAUAUUUUAGAAAUUAAAAUGUGUAGGAGUUUAUGUGUUUUUCGUGUAAUGCAAGUAUUUUUUUUUUUUUUUAGGCCUGCUAUAGAUAAAGAGCUACGGUUGUAUUUAUUGCAGCAGCAAUACCAGAUCGGAGAGUAGGUUUUCUUUUAGUUGGUGUUAACAGCGAGUGCUUAGAGGACAUUUCAUGAUAUUUUGCGGGAAGACAACUAAAAACGAAGAAAAUAGAAGGAAAGUGAAAAGGUGCUACGAAAAGGCAAAGAUAAAACUCCUUGGUGGAAUAACACGAAAAAAAAAAAAACUUGGAAUAGCAAAAGUUCAAAAUAAAGGGAAAUAAAAAUAAAAAAAAAAAAAAAACGGAAGAGGAGAAAACAGAAUUUAAGUCGGAACCAGAGAUCAAGACCCAAUAGGGUAACAGUAUAAACAAUAACAUCACAACAACCCACCCACUUGUGAGGACAAAUAUUUGGCCAAACUUGCUGCUGGUGUAGCUCAGCGGCAGCUCAGGUUGUCACAAGAAAUUUAAUCAAUAUUCUUUUGGAUUUUCUUUAUUCAUAUAUUCAUAUAAUUUAUUUCUCACGGAUGUUACAAAUUGAAGCCAUCAAGGAGAAAAUCCGGUAUGUUUUUCUUUGGUAAAGGCGAAAAUGCAAGCCAGACGGCUGAGAUCGUGAAUGGUGUUUAUUGCGCUGAUACGGUAACGGGCAAUUACGUGCAAUUUUGGUUUCGCCGAUUUCAUUCCCAUACUUUUGAUGUUAAAAAUGUACCUCGAACAGAUGAUCAAAGUUGAUCGGCACAUUAGCAGUCGUAAUUGACUCGGCUCUUAAACGGAUGAUAGCCGGGUAUGAGAACAUUGUGUGAUAGCGAUCGUGGUGAAGCAGCUCAAACGGUGGCCAAACCGAGAUUAAUGGCUAGCAAGUUUCUGCUGUUCAUUCGGCUAGACCGGAAAGAAAUCAUUUAUUAUUAUAUGGCCAAACAGUAAAUUCGGAUCUCUGUCAACAAGUGGACCGUUUGAAACUUACGAAUGAGAAGAAACGACCAGAAUUGUCCAACAGAACGGCUGUUGUGUUCCAUCAGGACAACAUCAGGCUUGGCUGGGAAAUUUUAAUGCAUGCACCAUAUAGUCCGGACCUAACACCGAAUGAUUACCAUGUUUUUCUUCCGUUACAAAACUUCCUUAGUGAUAAGAAAUUGGCAUCAGGAAAAGAUUGUGAAAAGCGAUUACUAGUGGUAUAUAGGGACGAAGACUUCUAUUAGAGACGCAUUAUGAAUUUUUUUAAAUAUUUUUAAAAUGGCAACAAAUUAGAGGACAAAACUCUUCUUUCCACAAUCUAACACAUUGGCACGAUCUUCAUUCAAGUGCAUGUGAAACUUGGAAUGUAUUGGAAAUUAAUUGGAAUUAAAAUUUUAUCGUUCGCCGUGAAUAUGAAAUAUUGUCGGUGUUUUUUCAAAUUUACCUUAGUUUCUUCUCUAUUGUCGGCUGGUAUGUUGUUAGAUCCCAACCAAUUUUAAGCCUUGGCUUUACUCUGAGAUUGCCAUUUGAUAGUUGCUAUUGGUAAUAAACAUUCGUUGGCUGCCGAUGACAAAAGAGUUGAUAUAAACUUAUUGCAAGAGCCAAAGAUACCCAAAGUAGGUAACUUAAUGAGUUGCUUUGGCUUUGGUCCGACCUCCAGUCCAUGAGCAUUUUUUAGAACUCACACGACCAUAAAUAUUAAGAUAGGAGAUGUCUUAAGAGUGACGUUACCCUAUUUGAAAAGAAAACCAUGAAGCACUCUUCUAGAUCUUUUUUCUUAUGAGGUGACUUUGCAUAUUCUCUAAUAUGAAUCUAUUGAAGACAUUUUAUCUUUACUUAUUACACUGGCCUCUCAUAACCUAACGUAAGUAGAUCAACUUUCAUACUUCGAAGUGAUCUUAAUCACUUAAUUUGUACAUACCUUUAUAUUAAAAGGACUACAAACAGUUAUCUGCUGGUAUUUCUUCAUCAUGUUUAUUGUGUUAAUAAAUGCUAGUCAUAAAAUGUCUGUAAUAUCUCGUCAUAAGAAUUUUACACGAUAACGAAGCUACCUCAAAAGUGCAUAUGCAAUCUUCCAUUAGAAAGGACAACAUGGUUUCAAUAAAAGGCAAUCCAAAGAUUAGCCCUUGUUAGACCUGUACCCGAGUACACAUCUUGUUUUGCGUCUGGAAAAAGUUGCAUCUUCUAGGCACUGCGUAAUCUUGACGGAGAUACCCUAUUGUUUUUAACGCCAAAUCAACAAACAGAUGCCAUUAGAACCUAUUAGCCCGUUGGCUUCAACUACGAAAUAACUUCUAGCUUGUAUACUGGCCAUGUUUGUACAACUACGAUUAAAUUCGUAGUAUAUCAGUGUAUAUAUGAAUCUGGCUCCAUCUACUUGAUGUGGCGAGAAAUCUCGUCAGCACAGUAUUCAACUUGUUUUUCAGUAAACAGUGUUUACUUAUCCACGCUUGGGUAAUUAUAAUUUGAUUUUAUGCCCUACACUACUCGACUCAUAUUCAUGUAAUGAUUUUUCAAAACAAGUCGCUAUAUGGGAAGUUGUCGGCAAAAUAGUCCGAUCUAAAGCAUUAUCAUUCAUAUCGUCUUUGGGCCAAGACCAGUAUACCAAAUUUCAUAAAUAUAUCUACAAAAUUACUGCCUGUAGGUUGAACAAAAGUAUGAUAGACGGACAGACGGACAGCCAAUUUUAAAUCAAUAUAGAAAAUGAUUUUGAAUCGUCUGGUCUACAUCAAAUUCUUGUGUGCAUUGUAUACAUCCGCACAAACUUAAUAUGUCUUUGUACAACAGAGCACCUGUAGGAUAUAACAACAUAAGAAUCGUAAAUGUGAUGCACUCGUCUCCACUAACGAUUUUAAAUGCUAUCUAUAGCGGUGCUGCAACAAACGACAGCUCGUAUCAGUAUAGGAAUUAACUCGUCGUUGGCUUCCACGAAGAAAUAUCUGUCUUGAAGGGUAUCGUGGCAGUUAAAGUGUUAGUUUCCGUUCUCUCGGUAAACGAUGAUUUACGCUGAGACUGCCAACGAUGUUUAUAAUGUGUUAUUUCGUUAAGUAAAUUUAAGAACGUAUUCCUAGAUACUAGCACCCAAUUGAACGCAGUCAGUGUCGUUGUAAGAAUGAACUUUUAAUUUAAUUAAUUUUUAAAGUUUCUCUUUUGGGUUUUAUUUUCGGUUGAUGAUGGUUUUCUGUAGAUAAAUUGUUAAAUCCAACAUCGCAGGUUGAGGGGUAUACUUGUUUUUUCACAAUGUUUGCAACGCUCGGAAAGAUAUAAAAAAAACUCGAUCACAAACGAAUAUAAUUUUGUUAUUUGUUGUUUCAUUUAUGUUAGCUGCUAGCGCUCAUUCUACAUUAGCCAAAGAAUCGACUACAAAAAUAAUAAGUAAGAAUGCUAUAGUCGGGCAAGCUCACCCAUCAGACACUUCACAUCACCUCGCUUAAUUAAGAAUACAAAAUAAUUGUACAUUACGUUUAUGAAAAUCAGUAAGUUUGAUGAAAGUCCUAAUACUGGAGGAUACUCACACGUCAAUGUGGCCUAAAUUUAGCAAACUUAUAUUACUUGGUAAAAGAUUUUAUUAUAUUUCUACUGCUUCCGCCACAACAAAGCACAAAUUAGGCUUUGUCGCUAUAGAAGGAUUUGCUUUCAGCAGAGCCCUUAUAUAUGGUACGGUCUAGAAAACAGAUCCGUGUAAACCAAAUUCCCUAUGAUCAUGAUCUGUUGAGUGCAAAUUUUCAAACUUAGCUUUUUAGCCUAUAAAUCUGUAAUUGUGAUUAGAAUCUGCGAACCGAAAAAUAGAUCUACAUGUUCAAAAUUCGCUAAGGUUAAUUUUUAUACCAAAUUAUUAUUUUGAACGAAUUCUCAUCAUGAAGAAUUGAAAAGAAGCUUCAGUUUUCGUAGCAAAGGUUAUAUGAAAAGCGGUUCAAUAAAUUGCUACAUCCGCUCCAAAGUUUUAACAACAAUUUAAAAUGCCGAAAUACUAUUAUUAAGCGAUUUUUGGAAUUGUAAUAAUUACGAUAUUUUCUUUCGUACGAUUGAAUCAAAAUGAGGCACUAUUUCAAGUAAGAAAAAUAUAGUGGACCACGUUCCGCCACCUAAACACCCUAUACCACAUCGGCUUUAAUACGGUUAUUCCUGGAACAAUUUUUCGAUAAGAAACUUUAUAUGGAAAAUGAUCCAAAAGGUGCUCCGAUGCGAAAGAUUUUCAGUACCGUUCAACCUUGAAUCGAAACACGUCAGUCUGCCUAAUUACAUCAAAACAACUUGAAAAUUUUACUUGAACCGAUAUCAGCCGGACCGACAAGCUUAGAUCGGCUCAGAAUUGAUUCAGAAAAUAAUUCUAGAUCGAGCGGAAUAACAGGGAGUCAAUCUGUCCAAGGCGUAUAUAUGCACGAGCUUAACCUACCUUGCACUAGUAGUUCUGUAGGGUGUAAUAAAGAUAAUUUCAUUUACAGGCCGUAAUAGUAGUUGAGUAAUAGCAAGUAUGUUGUCAAUACAAAUGCAAAUUACGGGAAAGUUCUUGGCUUAAUAUGCUCUAGACCAUGAUUUUUGGUUUUCAUUUUAUUCGAUCUUCAAUCAGAUGUUUUAGUUCAACUCAGAAGAAAUAAGGAAGAUAGACGAAAAAAAGCAAGUAAACGGACUAACAGAAAUUAAGUAAGACAUAUAUAUAUAUAUGAUGCAACUAAUUUACUAAUCGCCAGGAGUAGUCGAAAAUGUUUUUGCGAAUAUUAUAAAGGGGCUAAGAGAACUACUAUAGCGUUAAAUGGAAAAUAGUGCACAACGUUUGACCUUCAAUAAAUGUGGCGCUCAGAAUAUACUCUCACAGUACUUUUGAUUCGCUCUGGUACUGCAUGGUAGCAACCUAUACACAUCGAUAAAUUCUUAUUAAGUAUUGUGUUGUUUCAUUUUUAAAUACAAUGGAAUACAACAGAAUACAAAGGAAAACGUAACCAUAGCAAUUAUAGGAAAUUACUUAUGUAUAUGUGUCGGCUUAUAUGCAUCUUGAUGUAAUGUGAAUUAAGAGAACAAAUGGACCAUAGACUGCCGCUAUCGGUCGACUUGUCUGUCUAUUAAUGUUUAUUUCCCAUUUUAAUCUGGCGUCAUAGACGGGACGAAGAAGAGAAGAGAAGGACAAAGAGAGAGAUAUAGUUAUAUAAAUUAUUUCCCUAUAGAGAUUUGUGAUAAGUGUAGUUAACGAUGCUGUUAAGGUGAAUUGCAGCAGUGGCAUUACCAUCGCACAAUGAUGUUUAGUCUGCUAUUUCAUUUUAAACCGCCUACAUAUAUAUAUAUACAUAUAUAUAUACAUAUGUACAUAUAUAUAUAUAUAUAUACCUAUGAGUACAUGCUUAUAUUCAGAAAAUUUUGUGAGUCUUAAUGCAUGCAUUCAAAAAUGUUACACAAUAUCUUGUUGUUAUACAUGUAAUACAUAUACACAAACAUGUGUAUAAAUAGUCGCUAGAGUGUUCAAAUGAAUAUUUAUGAAUUGAAAAUGAAUGCAUAUCUGCGUGUAACGUGUCUAGUAAUAGCAAAUAUGGUAUAUAUCUAUGUAUGUAUGUAUGUAUGUAUGUAUGUAUGUAUAUAUGUACAAUAGCAAUGUAUGUAAAAUUUUGCAGUGCAUAUAAACUUAAUAUUGUUGUUUAGUAUUUGCUAGAUUCAGGUGUGCGAAUACCCAUUCAAACUUAUAGCUAGUGAAACCUUGUUAGUUUGCGUGUAAAUAUUCAAAACCAUAAAAAUAGUCGUAAACAUGUAUAUGCUGAGCAGAACCAAUUUACUUACAAAUCAACUGGGAACGUUCUGCUCCCAUAGACACCAUAUGGAUUAAUACUUUUUGUCUCUUUAUAUUUUUUUUUUUUUGUUCUUGAUUUUUGGAAAUUUGCUGUUGUAGGUGUAUUUUACUUUCUUUCAAUAGCAAACAUCUGUAGCAGAUGAAUGCGCUUAAAAUCGUUGACGUAUACAAGCUGUGAUCACACGUUCAAAUUGGUACAUUUGUGCCAAUAGAAAAACUCGAGAACACACCGAACUAAGCGCGCAUCUAUCGCCUUGAAAAAUCUUUCAAACAGAAAUAUUUUACAAUAAAAAGAGAGGAAA